CGCCUACCAGUGCCUUUGCAAAAGUCCUGCUCUAAAUAUUAUUGCAAAAAUAUUCAAUUUAAUACUUUAUUUACUUAUUUUAGUGUCAAUUUGUUAAAAAAUGUGUUAAAAAUAAGGUUUUCUGAGUGAUUUGCAACUAUGGGUUGUUAUAAGGUUGUACGAAUGAGUGUUUGUGCUUGUUAUUGAUUUUUUUUCGAACUUAGAACAAGUGUUACGUUUUCGAAGCUUUAAGGGUUUUUGUUAACAGCAGUUCAAACAACUCAAGAUGAAGACUAAAUUGACGGCAGUAACGUACCUUGGGUUCACGGCGAUGGAUCGAAGGUUCUCGAACGCCAUGCUGCCGUGGCUGCUGAGGGAAAUACGCGCGACUGGUGUCAGAGACAAGCUGAGCAUCGCCAUAGAAGAUGGUUGCUUAAAGGCUUACAAUGGCAACUUUGAGCCUGUAAUAGUUCA